rnacentral:rRNA from 1 species
AACGUAGGGUGCGAGCGUUAAUCGGAAUAACUGGGCGUAAAGGGUGCGUAGGCGGAGAUAUAAGUUAGAUGUGAAAUACCUGGGCAUAACUUAGGAACAGCAUUUAAUACUGUAUGAACUAGAGUUAGGCAGAGGGGGGUAGAAUUCCAAGUGUAGCAGUGAAAUGCGUAGAGAUUUGGAGGAAUACCGAUGGCGAAGGCAUCCCCCUGGGCUAUAACUGACGCUGAGGCACGAAAGCGUGGGGAGCAAACAGG